rnacentral:rRNA from 1 species
GCAGGCUUAACACAUGCAAGUCGAACGCCCCGCAAGGGGAGUGGCAGACGGGUGAGUAACGCGUGGGAACAUACCCUUUGGUUCGGAACAACUCGGGGAAACUCGAGCUAAUACCGGAUAAGCCCUACGGGGGAAAGAUUUAUCGCCGAAGGAUUGGCCCGCGUCUGAUUAGCUAGUUGGUGAGGUAACGGCUCACCAAGGCGACGAUCAGUAGCUGGUCUGAGAGGAUGAUCAGCCACAUUGGGACUGAGACACGGCCCAAACUCCUACGGGAGGCAGCAGUGGGGAAUAUUGGACAAUGGGCGCAAGCCUGAUCCAGCCAUGCCGCGUGAGUGAUGAAGGCCUUAGGGUUGUAAAGCUCUUUUACCCGGGAAGAUAAUGACUGUACCGGGAGAAUAAGCCCCGGCUAACUUCGUGCCAGCAGCCGCGGUAAUACGAAGGGGGCUAGCGUUGUUCGGAUUUACUGGGCGUAAAGCGCACGUAGGCGGACUUUUAAGUCAGGGGUGAAAUCCCAGAGCUCAACUCCGGAACUGCCUUUGAUACUGGAAGUCUUGAGUAUGGAGGAGGUUGGUGGAACUGCGAGUGUAGAGGUGAAAUUCGUAGAUAUUCGCAAGAACACCAGUGGCGAAGGCGGCCAACUGGUCCAUUACUGACGCUGAGGUGCGAAAGCGUGGGGAGCAAACAGGAUUAGAUACCCUGGUAGUCCACGCCGUAAACGAUGGAUGCUAGCCGUUGGACAGCAUGCUGUUCAGUGGCGCAGGUAACCCCUUUAAGCAUCCCGCCUGCGGAGUACGGUCGCAAGAUU